UACGUAGGGCGCAAGCGUUAUCCGGAAUUAUUGGGCGUAAAGAGCUCGUAGGCGGUUUGUCGCGUCUGCCGUGAAAGUCCGGGGCUCAACUCCGGAUCUGCGGUGGUACGGGCAGACUAGAGUGAUGUAGGGGAGACUGGAAUUCCUGGUGUAGCGGUGGAAUGCGCAGAUAUCAGGAGGAACACCGAUGGCGAAGGCAGGUCACUGGGCCGCAACUGACGCUGAGGAGCGAAAGCGUGGGGAGCGAACAGG
rnacentral:rRNA from 1 species